UAUUAGGUAUUGUUAUAUCUGCAAAGAACUUAUAAGAUGAAGUAUUAUUCUAACAUACAGAACUGGCAAAGAAUGGAAAUUUAAAAUUCUAUAAGAAAAGCUUAAACGAAAAAUCCCAGCAAAGGUGAUCAUGUACGAAUGUGGAUAGUUAGGCACUCAUGAAGCACAUAAUUCUAGUAUUGCCCAUGGUAAAUUCAUAUCAAUAUUCACCAAAGUAUUUUUUCCUCUACACAGGAAAAGAAAGAAAUAAAAGCAAAACGAUUUCGGAAUCACUCCCUAUAACCACGGAAAUGAUUUUAAUUACCAAUUCAUCUGUUGGCAGACUCUUCUGGCAGAUGUACCUGCAACUUGGAAAGAUAACAAAUGAACCAAUUCCUUACUCCAGAGUUGACACUGAUAGUGCUUACUGAAUUUGCUCUCAAAAAAGAAUCCUGGGCAACAAUACAUCUGGCACUCUGCUCGAGGAAUUUGUCAUGUCAUUGACGUGUUCAGCCUCCAUUGUCCACACCACCCUGACAGCAGACCUCCGACUAUGUGAAGAUACAGUGGGAAGAUGACUGUCCGCAAGACAGGAAGAGAGCCCUCACUGAGGAACCAAAUUGGCCAGUAUCUUGAUCUUGGAUUUCUCAGCCUCGAGAACCAUGAGAAAUGAAUGUCUGUUGUUCAAGCCACCCAGUCUAUGGUAUUUUGUUAUGGCAGCCCCAGCUGACCAAGAUAGUGCAUAUGAAUUUAAUGAGCAUUGAGAAGAGCUAACAUUUUUCAUUUUUUCCCUUAGAAGCAUCUAUCGAUCUUCAUCUGAAAUUAUGUAUCAGAAACUGCAAUAAUGGAAAUAAAGAGAAUGGGCUAGGUAGUGUAAGAAUAGGGCUAAGGUUAUGUAAAUGAGGGAGAGUUUCAAGAGAUGAGUUUCAGUAGCCUUUUAAAUAAAAUGCACCCUAUAAACCAAAUGCAUUAGUUAAGGAGCUGUGGACAUCAGUUUCUCCUUAUAAAGACUGCAUAUGCCUUUUAGUUACCAUCUUGGACAAGUCACGAAUGAUUCCUUUCCUCCAGGGUGUCCUGUGGAAUAUCUUCCUUGUCUCCCUCAACAUAGAGGAACUAUCCACCAUUUUCCAUUAAAUAGCCUAGAAUUAGGUGUGUUUCAGAAUCACGUGUAUAUAUGUACAUGGUGGUUGGAUGUGGGUGGAUUGGGAAGGACUUGUUAAGAUGCCCAUGCCUGAAUUCCUCCCAGAUCCACUAAAUCAGGAUUGUCAGCUGUGGUGCCCAAAUUACCUAAGUUAAAAGCCACUCUAAGUGCUUCUGAUUCAUGCCAGACUUGACAUCCAUAGACCAAUGUUCUCAUUCAUUGAUACACGUAUUCAAGUUUACUACCUAGGCAGAUCUUUCUAUAGGUUAUAUAUGUGAGUUUAAAAACGGGUACAUUUAAUUUUUAUAAAUGGAAAUCCAUUUAAGACACUUUCGGCCAAUGGUUUUGAGGAGAGCCCAUUAGAAUACCGGCUGGGCUACCCCAUUCCCUCAUUGCACACCUUUCUUCUGCCUUUGCCAUAGGUUGCUUAGUUUCUCAGUCUGCCUGUCUGGUCUGAGUUAGAAAGAAAAACGGGCAUCUCACAGUUCCUAGCAAUUUAUUUUGCAAAAGAAUGCAGUAGAAAUUUCUAUUUUAAUGUAAAAAAAUCCUUUGAGUAAGUAGUUUUCCCUCUCUCCAAUAUAUUUUCUUAUUAUUCUGUAUAUUUAAUAAUGGGAUUAUGUGUUAUAAACACGUGCUUAGACAUCCAAUAUAUGCACAGAUGGAAAAUAUCAAGCUUGCAGGAAAGGUCCAUCCCCCAAACACAAUUUUAAGGGGUUUUGCCUUUGUUUUCUCUAAGGAAUACAAAAGUCAGAUUUGAAAAAAGGAGUUUUAGGGAAUUCUGUCGCUAGUCUCCUAAUUUCCACCAAAUGCUAAUUCUGAUGUUGUCUUUUUGAUUUUUAGUGGUCUUUAGAGAAUUGUUGGGGUUGGGGAUGGGUAGGAAGUGGAUUGAGGAUGCGGAAGAGUUCCUAUCUGAUGUCUGACCAACGAAUUGUUAGAUAAACUAGUCACGUAGAAAACAGCUUAAUUUAUCUGAGAGAGAUAAUAGCGACUCCCAGGAUCCAGCCUGCCCCGUAACAACCCAGAGGACUUCUUUCCUGAGGUUUACAGAAUACAUUGAUUGGUGAAUCAACUAGAUGUAGUAAAUAUGUAAAAAUUAUACUGCAAAAAUUUUUUAAAAAUUGUAAAAUAAGUACAUAUUUUUGGAAGAGUUUAUGGGGAAAAAGUAAUGCAGAGGAAAAAAAAGAAGGGAGAAAAUAUGGGCCAAGGUGCUGCUUUCAGAAUCAGACACAUGUGGAUUAGAUUCCAGUGUUAGUUGUUGUAUGCCCUUGGGUAGUUAUGUCAUACUUCUAAGCCAAUGUUGUCAUCUGUUAAAUGGGAACAGUAUCUCUCUCACAUGGCUAUGGUAAGGGUUUGCUAAAGUAUUUAUUUUACAGUCUGUAAAAGGAUUUAGAAAAAUGCCUGAUAUACAGUAGCUGUUAACACAAUACAUCUGAGAUAAUAGUAUUGAUAUUGCUGGCAGCAGAGAGUGGUAGUUACUAAGUAUAUUUUUUCUGGACGUGCAGUCCUGACUUUGAACCCCUUUUGGUUUGAGGCAGAACUACUGCUAUUGGCAUUUCUAGCACUAAGUCUACAUGAUAUUUUAAAGAAUUUGUUGAGAGCUCUUAAAUUAUUACUAUUAUUAUCAAGAAAUAGAUUUGUUAUGUCUGUUUUCAUGAUUUAUUAACUGAAAUUCUGUAAUCCUUGCCUUAAGCUUACAAGCAUUCUUCUUAGUUUGAUUUUUAAAAUACCCUCAGAAACCAAUAAUGUUCACAAGAAGUAAGAAAUCUUUGCAAUAAUAUUUCGUUGUAUCAUCAUAUUUUUUCUUUCCUGAAAAACCAAUGAAGAAUGGCAGUUUUAUAUGUAAAACAGUAGUUAGCCUUUAUAUGGAUGACAUUUUCCUAAAAGCCUAGAAAAAUUUCACAUUUGCAGAAAAAUACUCUGUUCCCAUAUUAAAUCUGAUUAAAAUUCAAAUCUAUAUUAACAUCUCAUUACGUUUUGAAAAAAGUGAAUGCCAGCCACACUUAAUGGAAAAUGCUCACUGUCUGUCUCACUGCUUUUGUGGGCUUCUUAGCAAGGCUGUCCUGGGAUCCGGGAGGGCUGGACCACAGCUAUAUCCUUAUUAAAACAGUCACCCGGCGUGAAUGUUGGCCUUUAGUUUUUCCUUCCUUUCCCCUCUCCCAUCCCUACAUUGUUUCAGCUGCCAGCUCCCUAAUAUUUUUCUCUGAAGCAAGGGAAAGGGAAGGGCAAAAAUGACUUAGAAAGAAUAACAUUUCUUUCUAUGGACUUAAAUAGAACAUUCAACACAAAACAUCCUGUGUUUUCUUUUAGUUGAUGACACACCGACUGUAGGAAUGAAUGAACUAAAAACCAGGGCUUGAUUUUCAAAUGGGGGUUAUUUUAAUUGCAUACUACCUGAUCAAGGGAAAGUUGUUCAACUAUUUUAAAUUUUAACCUGUUUGUUUCUCCUCUAUACUCCGGAUCUCCUUAUCUUGCUGUGCGUUUCUUUUCUCCAUUUUACAUAUCACCUUCUAACAUGUGUUUAUUAUGUUUUUUGUUUAUUUUCCCACUCUCCUGGCCAUGAUGGAAGUCCAUGAGAGCAAGCAUCUUCGUCCAUUUUGCUCACUGUUGGAUUCCCUGUUUUAAAAAUAUCACCUGGCCCAGCAAAAAUUUCGGAAACCUUCAUCUAGAAAGUGGUCUAGCAAAGUGUGGCCCAUGGAUGAGUUUGAUCUGCAAACUGCUUGUUAUUGGUUCAUGACCAGAAUUGGUUCCAAACAGUAAAGCCUGCCAGAAAAAACAGACAAACUCUCAAGAACAACAAUGCCCAUUAUGUGUGGAGUAGAAGCUGCCAGACUUUGAUUACUGGCCAGACAUUAACCCCUUUGGUGUCUUAGAGGGGAAAAUGCCAAGUCUGAAUCCAGACAUUUCCAGGAUUUUACAGUCAUUCAUGGUGUGAGACCAGGCGAUUUAUAAUGACUUGUGCAAAAAAAAAGACUACUGGGAGAAGGAAGUGCAAGUCAAAGGCCACGUCUACUUGCUUCCUGAAUUCUGCCAUGACUAAUUCCAGCAAGCGGACAUAGACCUGAUCACCUCUGCUUUUCCCUUUGCUAGCCUGCCUGGUCAUGGAUGAGAAGCACGCUGCUCUUGCUACCUUCGUGUGGUGGUUUGGGUCCUGAAACAUCCACCUAUUUUCAGAACAAACUAAAAUAAUUUCUUAAUUUCUUGAGGUCACAUUUGCAUUAUUUGUAAAAUUAAAACAAUGUUACCUAACCCAUGGCUAUAGUGGGAGAGUAGAGAGGGAUUGACACAUAGAAGUUGGUCAGUAAAUGUUAGCUAUCAUCGUCAUCGUUAUCAUCAUUAUCAACAUCAUCAUCCAAGGGUUGGAUGAUGUUUUUGUGUUUUUGUCCAGGUGUCAGAAGGAGGCUGGCAAAUUUGGCACUCACAGAGGGAAACCUAUGUGCUUUGUGAGGUCAUUGCUUACAGUACAACUGCUACCAAGAACAUUCCCUGCAAACUCUUUUGUGAUCAGUUUCUUCCCUUCUCUCAUAUACCCUCUGCAGGUCUACCAAUUGCAUUUUGAGAGCUCAGAUAAGCAGAGAGCAAUGCAAUUGUCACGGAAGGAUGAUUAUGUAUAUGCACUGUCAUGUGUAUGUAUGUGUAUGUAUAUACAGUAUGUGUAUAUAUGCAUAUGUAUAUACCGUAUGUGUAUUUCAUUUGUUCUUUUAUCUUAUCCUUCAAUAUGUAUUUAUUGACAAUUUAUUAUGAGAGGCUGAGAAUACCAAGUUAAUUAUAAUUAAUUAUAAUAAUAGCUACCAUUUAUCAAGAACAUAUUGCAUAUCAACAUUAUGCUAAAUAUUUCAUAUACAUAUACCUUAAUGCAUUUAGUCACUUAAAAAACUUUAUGAAAUAGCCCCAUUUUAUACAUUAGUAAACCGAGUUCCGGAAAACUCAAGGGCAUGCAGCUAGUUAAUGUCAGAGCUAGGAUUCACAUUCAGAUCUCUUUGAUGCAAAACCCAUUCCGUUAAUCACUUUGUUAAAUUGCCUUCCCAAAGAUGAAUAACAUGAUACAAAGGCAUUUACCUGCUUUCUUGGAAUUCACAAUCUGGUUGGCAAGAAAGGCAUAUGAUGCAGAACAUAAAAGGCUAUAUACAGCUAUGUACAAAAUACCACGAUUAACUCAUUCUCUUGCGGGGUGGGAGAAGGUGGGAGAGGCUAGAGGAAGGCCUCAUAGGGCAAGUGGUGCUUGAGCUAUGCCUCUGGGGUGUGGGAUAUUCACGCAGCAGAGAGAGAAAAGGUGGAGGCUGGAGAGGAGAGAGAGAGAGAGAAAGAGAGAGAGAGGGGGAAGGAGGGAGAGAGAGAUUUCAGCUGGGUGUGACUUUGUUUUGUAGGACGAGACGUAGACUUGUUCAGGUGCAAAGAGACAUCUGGAACUAGUUAGUGGGAAGUUCUUCAAGGCUGUUUCUCCACUGACCAAGCCCAUAUAUUUUUCCUCUUUGUUCUCCUUUAGCUAUUUCCAUCCCUAACUCAAAGGAGACACAGGGAGAAAGUGAGCUCAGCCUGGGUAAAUUGGAGGUUGUGAUGACUUCUAGGAAGCCUCAGGAAAGAGAAACAGACAACACUGGCCUGCUGCUCUCUGCAAUGGUGGGACCCUUGUGGGAUAACUGUUUUAGGAAUGAAGGUGUCUACCCUCUCUAGAAAUGAAAAUGCAAGUUUGGCUGUGGUUAAGUAUUGGAUGGAGGCAAAAAGAAACUGACAUAUUUGCUUCUUUUCAAUUGUUUGAUUCACCCUGAAGGGCAUGGCUGCCUAAUUUUUUUCUCCAGAGAUAGGUGGACAGAUAAAGACAGAAAGUAACAUCCACAGACUGCCCUCUGUGAAGGUGACAGUGAUGAAGGGAAUGGUUGAUCUGAACACCGGUAAAUAAAGUGACCGCAUAUUUCCCUAGCCAGGAGAGCAAUCUGGCUCAAAAGAAACGAGAACAAUGACAUUACUGCCAGGCUGCUCCUAAGCCUUUGGCUAUUCUGUUCAGUACACAUAAAAAGCAGUGAACAUAACUGUGACCUGGCUUGUUGGCAACCACAGUAUCACAAUUCUUUGGGGCUCCACUUUGAGAAAUUGAGACCUACCUACUUUAACCCUGGGGGGAGGUUAAGCUUUCAAACUGGAAUGAUAACUGAACUAUUCCUUUGCAGUAAUUCUGGGCUUUGUGCGUAUUUUGAAAAGGAAUACCAGGCUUGCCUAUAUUCAUUACAAAGUCCUCCCAGCUUUCAAAUCUUCCAAUACAACGCCUCUUCUCUAGUGCUUUAAGCACAUCCUGUGACUGGAUAUGAUUAUGGGAGAUUUACAUGCAUCCUUGUCUAUUGUAUCAAAAGAUCAGGGAAUAAAAUGCCCAUCAUUAAAAGCCCAAAGUGAUUGGAUUGGCAUGAGGAAUGGGGAUGGGGCUGGCAUGGAAGAGAGGGUUCUGACUCUGAGAUUUCAUGAAAUGCAAAACAAUAGGACAGCUGCUCUUCCAUAAACAGAUUAUUAUUAUUAUUUCUACCUAGACAGCUUGAUAGCAGCCAUUAUCUUCUUUCUGGGUGUCUUAUCAAGUUCCGGCUGUGUGCAGCAUGGGUGAUAAGGAAUGAGAAAUGUCACCCAUGGGAUUGCCAAGGAUUAUUUCUAUGCACUGCUGUUCAGCAACAGCCAAUCUCUCAGAACUGAGAAGUAGUCCUAUUGUUCACGCUGGGCAGUUGCUAUUCUGACUAUCCCAAGAGAGUAGAAAAGGGAUGUAGUUGCCAUUGUGCAAAAGAUUGAUAUUUCAUUACUCUCAGCUAAAGUUCAAGCAGUCUUGAUUUUGAAAAGCAGAAUCAUCAUGAAAUAUCUUUGAAGAGAGAGAAGACAAGGGAAGAAAAGAAGAAUGAAAUGAGUUCAGAGCUUUUUAGAACUGUGAGGGAGUGCGAAAAAAGAAAGGUGUAAUACUUUCAAACAGUGGAAGUUAAAAUGCCAGGCAUCUAAGCCUCAGUGAAAUUGAGCAGCAUCACAUCACCAUGACUUGUGGUCCAGCUGUUUAUUGCAAAGACUCCAUCCUGCAUUACUCAUCAGAAAAUAGUUAACUUUGUAUCUGGCAUUAUUUGAAUUUUAAAAAACGUUAACUUACUAGAUUUCUGUUUGUCUGUGUUUCAUACAAGCUUCUUGAAUGAAAAUAAUCUGUUGAUAUUUAACAUUUUUCCUUCCUUCUCAAUAAGAAAAUAAAUGUUUUAUUAUACAUGCAGAUGUGCCAGCUAAAUAUUUCAGGAAAAAAAAUCUGUUUGUCGUUUUGUUCCAGUAUCUCAGCUUUCCAAACCUGUAUCUUCCCAGAGAAAAGACUGCAUUAGAAAAAAAUUAAAACUAAAGUGUAUGACUAACCCGUAGUGUAUUCAUAGAGAAUUCCCCCCAAAGUGUUCUGAGUGCUUUAGUCUUCUUUAUACAUGGUUUUAGGGUCAUGCUGAUAUUAUAAUAUAAGCUGCUUGGAAGUGAGCCAAGUCAAAUUUUUCCAACAUUUUAAAUCACUAUUCUGAAACUGGAAUUUCAAAUGAAUAAAAUGCUUUGCUCUUAAACCAACGACUUCAGAAAUGAGAUCCUACUCAGGAAUUAUUACAGUGGGAAGUGAGACGAGGUUGGGAAGGUAAAGGGCAAAAGGAGGGCAUGGAGGGAGAAAGGAGGAUGCAGGAAAAGAGGAAGGAGCUUUGACUCCCCUGUGAUGCAUGAGCUCCAGGAGGGCAAGAGCCUUCCCUUUAUGUUUGUACAACACCUCCUACAGAGUAAGCACUCAGGGGAUAUUUGUUAAAUGAAUUAGUGAGAGGGGCAUAGAAAAAAAGCUUUUGGUAUUAAGAUAUGCAAAGGAAUAUUCCCCUAACAAAAUACAUUAUUUUAGUUUUUCAGCCCUUAAGCAUUUACUAGGAAACGUAGAGAUUCUCCAACUUUAAUACACAUAUUAAUUACCUGAGAGCCUUGUAAAAAAAUCCAGAUUCUGAUUUAGUAGGCCUGGGAUAGGCUGAGAGAUUCUGCAUUUCUAUGAAGCUCCCAAGGGAUGCAGAUGCUACUGGCUCAUGGAAUACGCUCUGAAUAACAAUGUGUUAGAGUAGUGCAUGGGGUACUGGGCUGGGGGUCAUGAGCUCUGAGUUCUAAUCUCUGACAUGACCCACCUGUGCUUUUAAGCCAGAGGAUUAGCUUUCCUAGUCUGUCUCCCCAUGUAGCUAAUGACUGGUUGGAUCUACAAAAUUUCUAGAGUUCUUACAGCCUUAAUAUUUUGAAAGUUAAAAAGAAAAGAAAGGACUUAGAGAAUGCCCAGUUUAACUCUGUGUCUUGAAAUCCUGGGGAGGCAAAAUCACUUCCUUCCAAAGUUGCACAGGGGAUUUGUCCUGUGUGAAUUGUGCUACAGCUGAUUCCCUGGUUUCUAGUACAGUAAUUUUUCCACUCCCAUUUCUUUUGUCAUUAUUAUUUCUUGUGGAAUACUUAGAAUUUGUCUGAUGCUAUGCUAGGUGCUGGGAAUACGAAGACGCAUUAGAAAUACAUUAUUAUAAUUUAUUAUCAAAUUCCUUGCUUGAGUAACAUGCUGAAGAUGACAACUAAUCCCUGCAAAUGUGUAACAUGUGUGCUGAUAUUAGGGUUCCCCCUUCCAUGGUAUAAUAAUGGCUACAAUAGAAUGUUUGCAACAAUGACCGAAUUCUCCAAUUCUCCCCAUAUCCAUCCAUUCCCUUUUCUAUGUGAUUUUGCAGCUUAUCAUAUCAAAAAGUGGAAUUUCUUUCCCCAGCCCUUGACUCUGGAAUGGUCUGUGAUUUGCUUUUACCAAGAGAAUGCAGUGGAAGGAACGACAUGCCAGCUCUACACCCCGGUCUGAAGAGGCCAUACCCACUUUUGUUACUUCUCUCAGGAUCCUGCUGCUGCCAUAAGAACAAGCCUGGGGUAGCCUCCUGGAGGAUGAACGUUCACAAGUGACCUACCAUCCCAGAGGAGGCCAACUUAGAGCAGCCUACACCUAGCCAUCUACAAAUAUGUGUGGAAGUCCAACCAAGAGCAACAGAGCUGCUUACUCAACCCACAGCUGACCACCGAUGCACAAGUGAGCUCAGAUGAGGCCAGAACUGCUCAGCUGAGCCAUAAGCUUGUGAGCAAUAAUAAACUUUUGAAGCCACUUAGUUUUGGGAGGCUUUGUUUUGCAGCAUGGCUAAGUGGUAUGAUGGCCUUCUGGAUGCAAAGCUUUAUCUGAAAUAAAUGGUUCUAGUUUGAGUUCUCCCUGGAAGAUAGUAGGUGAGAUGUCUUGGGACUGGCACAGGCUUUGCUGCUUCUUCCAUAUUUCUGAGAUGCUUUUCACUUAAAAAGGAGGGGAGCUAGCUCAUGCUAUUUUUACUUUACUGAUAAAAGAAAGAUAUGGCCAGUGAAGUUAAGUUUAGAGAUUAAAGCUCAAGGUAACACACAUGUAUAUCCCUUUUUUUAAAAGAAGCAUAAAAGAGCCAUGAUCUGAGAUCACAAAAGAAAAUGAAUGCUUUAGUCUUGGCUUUGCCAUGUAUGUUAUCUUGAGCUUCAGAGUUAUUCUUGGUAAACAAAUGUAACUAUGGCUGCCUGCCUUCCUUCAAAGAUGGUAUAAGAGUGAACACAUAUAAUAAAUAUAAAAAUGUCCUGUAAACUCUUAAGUGGUACACAAAUAUAACUUCUUUCGAACAUUGUACUAUAUUUUGUUUUCACAUAAUAGUAUCUAGUACUUAUUGAGAACUCAUAACUCCCUUUAUAAGUAUAAUAAUAGCUAUGACAUAUACAUUUUAUAGUUCUCAGGUUGCUUUUAUAUAAAUUAUCUCUCUUUGAUUCUUCAAUGGUGCCCUGAAAAACAUAUUUUUAUUUUCUCAUUUUGCAGAUGCAGAACCU